UACGGAGGGUGCAAGCGUUAUCCGGAAUCAUUGGGUUUAAAGGGUCCGCAGGCGGAUUUAUAAGUCAGUGGUGAAAGCCUACAGCUCAACUGUAGAACUGCCAUUGAUACUGUAAGUCUUGAAUUUGGUCGAAGUGGGCGGAAUAUGACAUGUAGCGGUGAAAUGCUUAGAUAUGUCAUAGAACACCGAUAGCGAAGGCAGCUCACUAGGCCAGUAUUGACGCUCAUGGACGAAAGCGUGGGGAGCAAACAGG
rnacentral:rRNA from 2 species